UUGACACCCCUACUUUGAAUUACGGAAUUUUUCAAUACGUGGAUAGGAGCCGGAAGUUCCUCGCUGAAUGAACGAGUAUUGUGCAGGAGAAUAGGAAGACGUAAGCGGCCGGUUGGACGUGGCAAAUUGAUCUGUGAUGGGGACGUUCAACAGACCGCCACGGUUCAACUCCAAAAGCCUCUCGCAUCAAACGCCAUAAUUUGGCCGGACCCAAGGCUUCUCCUCCGAUCGCCUCCGUCGUCUGCUGUUCAGUUUCAGCAAGCUUUCGGACUACAGGAAGGGAAGCGAAAUGAGUGAUCCCUGCCAGUUUCCUGAGCUAGAGCUUCCUUGCUCAGCUAUGGCCUCGGCUGCGGAUGUGGCUUCUGCUCUGCCUCAGGCUCCGUCGGAUUCUUCACGUAACUCUCUUUCUCUCUCUCUCUCUCUGAAAAAUACGUGCUUUGCUUGAAAAGACGCUUGUGGAAUUCGGGGGAGCAAAUGUCAAGUUUCGGUCUAGAGAAAUGCAUUGUUAGUGCGCUGGAUAAAUGCUGCGAAAUCUGUUCGGUUGAAUAACACGAGAUGAGAAAGUUUUGACGGAAAAGAAAAUGCUAAAUAAAUACUAGCUUCCUUAGAUGACUGGUUUUAUUCCGAGUCCACAUCGGUCCAUAAUGAAGAUUGAUUAGCUUCUGCAUUUCCUUUAGUGGGUUCUGAUCAGGUUAUGUGAGAAGUUGGCGUUGAAAAAUUGAUUGGCCAAGUUCUUUAGGCAACGGUGCUUACAAGUUGGCUUGCCUCUAUUCUGGAAUCUCAAAUGCGGUUGAGGUAUAUGUUUAAGACCGGGUAUCUAAGUUGACUAUGACAUUAGCAGGAACAAGGGGGAGUGCACUUCUCAGUUUUUUCUGAUAAUAGCUGUUGGUUGAAGGUGCGGAGUUUUUUUUGGUAAAUAUUUUUAAAUUACCAUUCCAACAACAGACAAGAUAAAAUGAGUUUUAUUAUGGAGAUGAAUUUGAGACUGCAUACGGUUACUACAGUUCCUCAGUUCAUCCCCCAUUCAUUCCACACAUGCUAUGAUUCUUUUUUCCCAUGAUCUGAAAUAAAUAGCUUAAAGUGCGGCACAAGCAUUGUUUUUCAAUUUGGCAGUUACCCAUUUCGUUCUUUCAGUGGUGGCCAUCAGAAGGACAAUCUCAAUCAUGAAUGAGACCUAUUUCCUAAAAAUAAGAACCAAUUGUAGUCUUGAGUAUAGUUUAAGUCACAUGUCGGAUAAUGAAUAAGGAAAAUGUGGACCAUUAUGGGCUCUGAGGCUACUCGGAGUGAAUUAACUACGCACUUUGUACCCAAUGAUCGAAAUUGAUGACCCGACUUUGGUCAAGUGAAAACAUAGAGCAACUUGUGGCCUCGACCAUGAAUGGGACGUAUUUCCUAAAAAUAAGAACCAAUUAUAGUCUCUAGUAUAGUUUAAGUCACAUGUUCGACAAUGAAUAAGAGAAAUGUGGACCAUUAUUGGCUUUGAGGCUACUCGGAGUGAAUUAACUACGCACUUUGUACCCAAUGAUCGGAAUUGAUGACCCGACUUUGGUCAGGUGAAAACAUAGAGCAACUUGUGGCCUCGACCAUGAAUGGGACGUAUUUCCUAAAAAUAAGAACCGAUUGUAGUCUUUAGCAUAGUUUAAGUCACAUGUCCGACAAUGAAUAAGGGAAAUGUGGACCAUUAUUGGCUUUGAGGCUACUCGGAGUGAAUUAACUACGCACUUUGUACCCAAUGAUCGGAAUUGAUGACCCGACUUUGGUCAAGUGAAAACAUAGAGCAACUUGUUGCCUCGACCAUGAAUGGGACGUAUUUCCUAAAAAUAAAAACCGAUUGUAGUCUCUAGCAUAGUUUAAUCAUCGUUGGUUUUUUAUUAUCUCUAUGCUUCAACUUAUAAUAAUCUGAACAUUUGAAAUUAGUCUCUGUUAUAAAUCAUUUUGUGUGUUUGAGUACGUCGCAGAGUUGAUUUCAUGGUAAAGACCUCUCGUCCUAUUCUCGGUCACUUUUAGAGUAAAAUCUAAACCUGUGCGACAUGGAAUGGAUGUUGUGCUUGAAAAUUUUCACAAAUAUAUGUUCGAAAGUAGGUUCCCCAUCACUAUAGCAAACUUUCUCAUUCAUUCGUUGUAUUCUCUGUGAUACGGUGACCAUGGAUGUUGAUGAUUGGAGUCGAUAUGUUAAUUGCUUUGUUCUGUUGAUGGUCAGAGGUGAUGGAUGGCGUUGUAAAAUGUAUAUACGUUGGCCUCUGCUUAAGAAUUUGUGUAGAGGAUUGUGCAUAACAAGUCCAUACAUGCUGAUCUCGAGCAGAUUCUAAAUGCUUUUACGCUGUUUGUUUUAUCGUGAAACGUUUAGCUAUAUUGGUUUUCAAGGAACAUGUUUUGUAAUUGGGAGGAUUCUGUUUGGAAUGGUUCGAUAGAUUCUGGAUAAGUAACAUUGUAUAUUUGUCGCUUGAAUAGAGAUGGAUAAAGAUUUGGCCGACAAUUAGAAGAAUAAAAGGGAAGUUAGAGUGUAUUGGAAAUGAGAAUGAAGGAGUCUUGUCGAAAUGUAUUGUGUCUUGUCAAUAAAUGCUGGAAUCUUGCUGCGAUUUGUUAAAAACAUGCUGGAAUUGAACCGAAUGCAUGCUCACCGUGAUUGUAUUUCUCAGCCUAGUGAAAUUCUCGUUCUAUUUGUCUUUAGUUUGAUGACACAAGUUCAUAUAAGUACUGGUGGAGACAGUACAUCAAUUUAAUGUCAAUUCUUUACAAAAUAAUUGGAAAUUUUGAUCUCGACUAAUCUGUAAUAAUUCUGAAUGUUGCUGCACGGCACUAAUUGGAUAUGAUUUUUGUAGAUUCAAACUUGGCUUUGCUCUGGCAUGAUGCAAAUGAGUUUGUCUAGCGUGUUGAUUGUUUGAGCUGACUGCUAGCUUAUUCCAUUAUCGGCUGUGACCUUCUCUCACUUAGAGCUAGCUUGAUUUUCGUCCUUUCAUGAUGUGUGCUCACCACCUGUUUGCUGAUAUGCCUCUUAGACAUAGCUAUGAAAUAUAUCAUGAUUUUUAGUCAAUUUGGGGAUGGGUUGAUGUAAGCAAUUGGUUUGCUAGCAUUCGAAUUUGAUUCUAUGUUACACUUAAAUGUUAUUGAGACCAAAUUUGACGCUAUUCUUCCAUUUCUUUGUCUAUGUAUAUCUCGGUGAUUUGCCAUGGCAAACGGCGUUGAGCAUGUGGUCUGGAUUUAUCUUUCUCAACUUUUAUUUCUGGAGGAGGCCAAUCCCUCAAGGUGGGCUGUCGGAGGAGACCCAAGCGGUGGAAGAUGCGGUGAGGCAGUUGAGCGGUCCGAAUUCGUGCAAUAAGGAAGGUAUUGAACAUCGCGAGUUUGGAGAUACUAAACACCACCCGGGGGUGGAGCUUGACCGUGUAGAGGCCGUUGGAUGACACCAUUGAAGCUUGGUUUUCAAAUCGCCUUUCAAAGGAAAAAAAAAAUCUCUCCAAACGAAAUGGUGACUGUUCCCCCUUCAUGUAUCCAAAUCUGAAGUCAGUUGCCUUGAGUUUUUACAAUUAAUAUUUGGUUAAAAUUUUGAUUUGGUUGAAAAAUUCGAAAAGGAUUUUGUUUACUAGGCGAGAGAGAGAGAGAGAGGGAGAGGGAGAGAGAUUUUGGGGUAAAUUUUGGGGUAAGCAACGGCUAUUGAGAGAGGUCCAAGUCGACUACGUUCACGGUCUCUAGAAAAUUGUAACUUGGGUAGCCAAAAUAGGAAAAUUUGAUAGAAUGCUUGAUCUUUGUACCCAAUUUCUUGCUUACGUAAUGAAAUGCGACAUGUUUGAUAUUUUGAAUCCGAUUUUCUUUGAUCAUACUAAUCUUUUUCCAGUCCACAGACCCUUUUAGUGUAUUGCAAAUUUAUGUAGGAUUGGGCUCAAAGGAAGAGUUGGACUGCCGUAUCAAGAUAGCUACCUUUACUAGAAAAAUAACAGACCCAAAAGAAUAGAUGAUUUUCCAUUCAAAUGCUCAGGGAUACAGAGUCGUUGACAACAGUUUGACUAUUUGUCCUUAUCCUGUUGCUAAAAUUUACGUUGUA